AGUGAACGCUGGCGGUAGGCCUAACACAUGCAAGUCGAACGGCAGCACAGUAAGAGCUUGCUCUUACGGGUGGCGAGUGGCGGACGGGUGAGGAAUACAUCGGAAUCUACUUUUUCGUGGGGGAUAACGUAGGGAAACUUACGCUAAUACCGCAUACGACCUACGGGUGAAAGCAGGGGAUCUUCGGACCUUGCGCGAUUGAAUGAGCCGAUGUCGGAUUAGCUAGUUGGCUGGGUAAAGGCCCACCAAGGCGACGAUCCGUAGCUGGUCUGAGAGGAUGAUCAGCCACACUGGAACUGAGACACGGUCCAGACUCCUACGGGAGGCAGCAGUGGGGAAUAUUGGACAAUGGGCGCAAGCCUGAUCCAGCCAUACCGCGUGGGUGAAGAAGGCCUUCGGGUUGUAAAGCCCUUUUGUUGGGAAAGAAAAGAAGCAGGUUAAUACCCCGCUGUUCUGACGGUACCCAAAGAAUAAGCACCGGCUAACUUCGUG
rnacentral:rRNA from 1 species